ensembl:misc_RNA Metazoa_SRP Metazoan signal recognition particle RNA
GCCAGGCACGGUGGCGCAUGCUUGUAGUUCCAUCUACUCAGGAGGCUGAGGAUGGAGGAUUGAUCGAGUCCAGGAGUUCUGGGCUGUAGUGCACUAUGCCAAUCAGGUGUCCACGCUAAGUUCAGCAACAAUAUGGUAACCCCCUGGGAGCGGGGCAUCACCAGGUUGCCUAAGGAGGGGCAAAUUGGCCCUGGUAGGAAACAGAGCAGAUCAAAACUCCCAUGCUGACCAGCGGUGGGAUCGCCCCUGUGAAUUGCCACUGCACUCCAGCCUGGGCAAUAUAGCGAGACCCUGUCUCUU